GGAUGCGAUCAUACCAGCACUAAAGCACCGGAUCCCAUCAGAACUCCGUAGUUAAGCGUGCUUGGGCGAGAGUAGUACUAGGAUGGGUGACCUCCUGGGAAGUUCUCGUGUUGCAUUCC
rnacentral:rRNA from 1 species